rnacentral:sRNA from 1 species
AAAAAUAAUCUAAUAUAUUUAUUUAUUUAGUUACAAACUAGAUAUCUUCUCUCGAUGAUGUGCUUUUAGUCAAGUGGUAAAGUCCAUUUGAUUCCGCUUUUCUCAUCAGUGUUCGAUUCCGUUAAGUUGUGUUAUCUCGCCUAGUAAAAAAGAUACCAAAUCAAUGAAACUAUUU